UACGGAGGGUGCAAGCGUUAUCCGGAUUCACUGGGUUUAAAGGGUGUGCAGGUGGGGUAAUAAGUCAGUGGUGAAAGCCCCCGACUCAAUCGGGGAACUGCCAUAGAUACUGUUAUUCUUGAGUGUGGUUGAGGCGGAUGGAAUAUGACAUGUAGCGGUGAAAUGCUUAGAUAUGUCAUAGAACACCGAUCGCGAAGGCAGUCCGCCAAACCAUUACUGACACUGAAACACGAAAGUGCGGGGAUCAAACAGG
rnacentral:rRNA from 1 species